UACGUAGGGUGCAAGCGUUGUCCGGAAUUAUUGGGCGUAAAGAGCUCGUAGGCGGUUUGUCGCGUCUGCUGUGAAAACUCGGGGCUUAACUCCGGGCCUGCAGUGGGUACGGGCAGACUAGAGUGCGGUAGGGGAGACUGGAAUUCCUGGUGUAGCGGUGGAAUGCGCAGAUAUCAGGAGGAACACCGAUGGCGAAGGCAGGUCACUGGGGAUGAGCUGACGCUGAGACACGAAAGCCAGGGGAGCAAACGGG
rnacentral:rRNA from 1 species